GUGAUCACUGUAACGCCCUGAGUGUUGCGGAUGUUUCGCAGAAGUUGACCGAACUUGAUUAUUUAGAGGAAGUAAAAGUCGUAACAAGGUUUCCGUAGGUGAACCUGCGGAAGGAUCAUUAAAGUUAUCCUUACAGUUAUAAACAAAAACACAAUAUAUAAAAUACUUAUAUUGUAAAAUUAUGGCAAAUGCCAAAAAGAAACAAAAUAACAAUAAUAAAAAUGUUUAUUAUUGUAUAGCCUCCUAGGCAAAAAAGUAUAGUAUAUAAAGUGUUUGUGUGUGUGUUACACCUUACACAAAAAAUUACUUAUUUAUCUAAAAUUUGUAAAAACUGAAAUUGUGUGGACGUUGUUAUACAAAAUUAAUUUGUAUACAAAAUGUCUAAAAAUUUGAAAUACAUAAAAUUAUAGUUGUACUUGUAUAAAAUUGAAAAGUAAUUUUAUAUAAGUCAAUCAUUGUUCUUUUUUAAGAACUUGAGACAUUCGCAACAAAAAUUUUAUGUUUUAAUUAUAAAAGAGAAGAAUAAUAAGCAAAAAUUAUUGAAGGAAUUGAUAUAUGCCAAUUUGAAAAUUGUUGGUGUAUUUUUGAUUUCUUUCAAUAAAUAUAUAUAUGAAAUGCUAUUGAAAAUAAAAAUUAUAUCACUCUAAGCGGUGGAUCACUUGGCUCAUGGGUCGAUGAAGAACGCAGCAAA
rnacentral:rRNA from 1 species